UACGUAGGGUGCGAGCGUUACUCGGAAUUACUGGGCGUAAAGCGUGCGUAGGCGGUUCCUCAAGUCCGUUGUGAAAGCCCCGGGCUCAACCUGGGAAUGGCAGUGGAAACUAGGGGACUGGAAUCUGGCAGAGGGGGGUGGAAUGCCGCGUGUAGCAGUGAAAUGCGUAGAGAUGCGGCGGAACACCGAUGGCGAAGGCAGCCCCCUGGGCUGAGACUGACGCUCAGGCACGAAAGCGUGGGGAGCAAACAGG
rnacentral:rRNA from 1 species